UGGGGAAUUGUUCGCAAUGGGCGCAAGCCUGACGACGCAACGCCGCGUGGAGGACGAAGAUCUUCGGGUCGUAAACUCCUGUCGAGUGGGAAGAACGCUUCGGGGGCGAAUAUCCUCCGGAAUUGACGGUACCACUAAAGGAAGCCCCGGCUAACUCCGUGCCAGCAGCCGCGGUAAUACGGGGGGGGCAAGCGUUGUUCGGAAUUACUGGGCGUAAAGGGCUCGUAGGCGGCCAACUAAGUCGGAUGUGAAAUCCCCAGGCUUAACCUGGGAACUGCAUCCGAUACUGGAUGGCUUGAAUUCGGGAGAGGGAUGCAGAAUUCCAGGUGUAGCGGUGAAAUGCGUAGAUAUCUGGAGGAAUACCGGUGGCGAAGGCGGCAUCCUGGACCGAGAUUGACGCUGAUGAGCGAAAGCUAGGGGAGCAAACGG
rnacentral:rRNA from 1 species